rnacentral:lncRNA from 1 species
GAGAAGGGAUGGGUGCUCUGUCGCUGUCCAAACUUGGCCAGCAGAGCUUUGGGCCGAGGGCAGGAACGCCAUCCCUGCUCUCCUGGCUUUCGUCCCUUGCGCACCGCCUCUGGGUGUCUUUUCUGACGAGCUUUGGGGGCCAGGUGACCCUCAUCACGUCCUUUUCUCCCCAACAGCGCGGGAGCUGGGCGGACAGGUACGUUCAUAGCGCUCAGCAACAUCCUGGAACGAGUCAAAGCCGAGGGACUCCUGGACGUCUUUCAGGCUGUGAAGAGCCUGCGACUGCAGCGGCCGCAUAUGGUGCAAACCUUGGAACAGUAUGAAUUCUGCUAUAAAGUGGUACAAGAUUUCAUCGAUAUAUUUUCUGAUUAUGCUAACUUCAAAUGAAGAUUCCUGCCUUAAAAUGUUUUUAUUUUAAUUUAAUGGUCAGUACAAAUGUUUGUAAAUCUUGUUAAUUUAUUUCAUAGUUGACAUUAAUAUUGUUUCUAAUUCCUGUGUAUAUAUUUUGUUACACUUUAAAUAUCACCUGCUCUAAAAGAUAGAAAUUAAACUUAACAGCAUUAUCUUUUUUUUAAUUGGCAUAACAUGUUAAGUAAAAUCAUGUUCUACCACACAUGUAUAUAUUGCUUUGCCAGUGGCAGUCUUAUUUUCCCUUGUUGACAGCUUAAUAAUGCAUUUCAUUUCGAAGGCUGAGCAUCUCAGAAUUUUGUACGGCCACCAUUGGAGCUCGAAAGAUGAAUAAUCCUUCACAUGCUUAGUUCUGAUGCUAAAACAGCCAUCCAUUGUUAGUCAAACAGUUCGGGUUUCUCCCAGAACCACCAAGCAUGCUUGGCUACCUUUGCUUUUGAAAGUCCUGGUCAUCUCUCAUUCUAGGGCACCCCCUCCAACUUUGGUUCAUUCAGAGUCUAAAUAGAGGGUUUUAAAAUCUUCUAUUUUAAUCUACAUAUUUCAUUUUCAUUUUUAAAAAUAUUAUAUAUCAUUUAAAAACCUAGAUACAGGUCUAAGACAUGGGAUGAUAAUUUUAUAUUCAUAUAUACAUGUAUACACACAUACACAUAUAUAUGUGUGUAUGUAUGUUUAUGUGUAUGUGUUUUGGCCAGGGCUGUCUACCAAGGGCCCUUAGCUCCAUGCCUGCUGGGUGGGCCCCAGGAGCACCCCCCUUGCCUCUUAAGGAGCACGUAGAAAACCCUUAUAGUCAGACCACCUGGAUUGUUCAGGCCUGCCUCCAAUUCAGUGACUCCAGAGGUGACUGAAGUUUGACUUGGCUCAGACUCUGCUGAAGACAUGUUUGCUGUCCCUGAAUGAUGCCAAGAGCAGCUUCUCCCUCCCCACCUCAAAAAUUACCCCAUGUAGGGGCAGCUGGGUGGCGCAGUGGAUAGAGCACCAGCCCUGAAGGCAGGAGGACCUGAGUUCCAAUCCGGCCUCAGACCAAACACUUGACAUGUACUAGCUGUGUGACCCUGGGCAAGUCACUUAACCCCAAUUGCCUUCCCAAAAAAAAAGAAAUACCCCAUCAGCCCCCAAGUGUCUUUCCAGAUUUUCCCAUUCCAGAGCCAGAAAGUCUUCAAAGCAGAGUGCUUUAGUGGAGGCAUCCAGAGAAAUAGAAGUAACUUGCCUUCAGAUUCUCCAGAAAACACUUUAGUGUGAAAACUUGUCCUGUGUAAAGAACUGCAAUUCUUUAUUUUAAAACACUUUUAAAGACUAUCUAGAUUUGUAUGAUCUUUUUAAAAGUAUCUCUUAAGGUUAAAACAGACAUGAGGAAGUCCUCCAGCAAAGGUAGUUUGUUUGGGGAUUGUAAUACCACUGAAACCGUAUGUACAGGAGGGAGACUGAUCCCACCACAGAACAGGACUGACAUAGGGGUAAAGGAAGGUAUAAAAGGAGGAAGGCUAAAUGCCUGAUUUAAUUCAAGGAUCUUUAGACGAAGAUAUAUGAGCACAAAAAAACAAAUCUUAACCCCAUUUGAUCUAACUUAUUGCAACCACUGGAUCCAGCUGAUGAAUUUUUUGUCUUUAUUUACAAAUAGAAAAGUCUCAUUGAGAAGUCAGGUGAUGGUAGCCUUGGGGCUCUGUCCUGACAGGACAGGACUAUCCCUGCCCAUGCUUGCUGGACUUGAAAUUGCUCCUGAUGGUCAUGUGCAAACCCAGAGUUCCACCUCGCCUUGAGGCGAUGUCUCAAGUUUGGGAGGAGAUGGGGUCACCAGCUGGAGGGAUCUAAAGCACGCUGUCUGUGACCCUGCCUCAUCAUGCCCAUGGGCUGCCUGGCACAGUACCCUAUCUUUAUUUGUAGUAUGAGCAUGCACUGAAUGUCUCCCAUGCCAGAGAAGGACGUAUCCAAAGGGGCGGCAGGGAUGUAAGAGGCUAUCAAUUGUUAAAAUGCCAACUGCCAAAGGUCUUUGUUUGACUAAAGAAAAAGAAAUUGAAAGGCUAAAAAUCUGCUGCAGUGAUGCAGGGGUCAUGGGAGCAUGAGCUUAAAGCCAGAAGCCCUAGAGAUCCUCUCCUCCAGGCUUGUCAUUUUUUUAGAGGAGGAGACUGAAGGUCUGAGAAGUUACAGAAUUGCCAGAGGUCACAGAGGUAGUAAGUAGCAAAAUCUGGAUUCGAAUCCAUGUCUUCUACCUACAAAUCCAGUAUUGGCGGUUAAGUCUAACAACAUUAAUAUCUUUGAAUAUCAUCAAGGCAAAUUCACGUGCUGUGUUCUGGGUUUUUGUUUUUUUCAUCUUAAGUUGAUCCCGGUUACGUGCUUUGAUCCUGGAUUCUUGAGGAGCUGUCACCUGAUCAAAGCUAACAUCCCCAGUCAGGAAAUAUUUUAGUGGCAGGAAUUAGGACCCGUGAUGGAGAGCUGGAGGGGGACUUUGAGGCAUCUAGGACUGCCCCCUCAUUUUAUAAAUGAGGAAACUGAGGCCCAUGGAGGGGAAGUAACUUGGCCAAAGUGAUGCAGGAAAUUGAACUCAGGUCCUCUGGCUCUAAGUUCAGUUCUGCUCAACAGCAGUUCUAAGGAAAAUGGUCCCAGUGCUCCCCCCUUACACUAUUUCUAGGUGCUGGUCCUACUCCACCAUUGUGUGAUCUCCAAGGUCUCUUAUUUAUCUCUAGCUCUGGGAUCCAUGUUGGGAUUGGGGGGGAGGGGUUUGAACUUCCCACUACUUUCUUUCUCCACAUCAACCUAAUAAAUUAAUUAAUUCAAUAUUCCA